rnacentral:lncRNA from 1 species
UGACAAUGAUAGUCAAUUUUUUGGAUUUCUUAUUUCACUUCUUUUUUUGAGUCUUGCACUGGCCAAACUCAACCUCUCUAUUGUUUAUUCCACAAAAAUCAAUUUGGAUUCAUUUUUAUCUUUUUUCUUUUUUCAAGAAUACUUAUUCCAUUUUUCAAUUUUCUACCCCUUUGAUUUCGUUCCAUUUGCUAGUUUUAGCAUUGGCGUUUUGAUUUAUCUUGAUAUUUAUCAAAUGGGGUUUAUUUAAUUCAGUAAAUAAACCAAAAAAUAGAAUCUUGGGAUUUUGGGUUUUGUAUUUUUAGGUCAUUUUCAUAACUUUGAAGCUCUUGUUCAAUGGUGGUUGGAAUUAAGUGUUAACCAGAAAACAUGAUGAGUUCGAAGGACUAAAGAAAGUGGUAUUGUCCGCCAAAUUUUGGUUCUAAACAUUGAGGUCAUUCGAGGUCACGUUCGAUUCGGGUUUUUCCGGUCGAGAUCCUGUCGAAGGUGUACACAAACCUAUUUGUAUUUAUGCUUGAAUUUUAUGACAAAAUUGCCAUGUUUUUUCUCAUUAAUUGAAUGAUGAAUUUGCUUUUGUUGUUGUACGAGUCAAUUCCUUCUAUAGCAUAUGGUAUAAGGGAGCUAUAAGUUAGUUUAAAGUACUG